AAGUUCCCUCUUUGUGAUUUUUUUUUUCUCAUUUAUCUUGCAGUCUUUGAAAUUGCAUAUUCUCCUGUGAUACUGUAGAAAUACAUGCUAUGGCUUGGAAAUAGCUUGCUUCUGAGGCUUGUGUAUUGUAGAAAAAGGCACAGAGUAAGAAGAAAGCUUGGGUAGGGAGAAAACAAAUGGAUGCAGAAAGAAGAGAAUGGGAAAGGAAUGUGAGAGGGGAAAAGGAGCCCUCCAGAUGAAGAAAACAGGAAUAUAUGCUACAGACUGAGAAGAAGGGGUAAAGAGGUGGGGAUUCAUGGCUGAGCAGAAUCAACCACCCUAUCAGUGGGCAGAAGAAGUGGCAGAGGUUUCUCAGUUUUGAUGUAUCUGAGUUUAUAAGAAUUUGGAGUUCCUUGAGCUCUGUAAGAUUUCUGUAUUAAUACUCAUAACUCAUUAAUAAUAAGGAAGGUUUUCAAAUGUUUUUGGGUUUUGUCUGUUAAGUCUUUAUUUCCUGUGACUGCUAACAGAGAUACAGAAUU
rnacentral:lncRNA from 1 species